rnacentral:rRNA from 1 species
AUACAUGCAAGUCGAACGAACUCUGGUAUUGAUUGGUGCUUGCAUCAUGAUUUACAUUUGAGUGAGUGGCGAACUGGUGAGUAACACGUGGGAAACCUGCCCAGAAGCGGGGGAUAACACCUGGAAACAGAUGCUAAUACCGCAUAACAACUUGGACCGCAUGGUCCGAGUUUGAAAGAUGGCUUCGGCUAUCACUUUUGGAUGGUCCCGCGGCGUAUUAGCUAGAUGGUGGGGUAACGGCUCACCAUGGCAAUGAUACGUAGCCGACCUGAGAGGGUAAUCGGCCACAUUGGGACUGAGACACGGCCCAAACUCCUACGGGAGGCAGCAGUAGGGAAUCUUCCACAAUGGACGAAAGUCUGAUGGAGCAACGCCGCGUGAGUGAAGAAGGGUUUCGGCUCGUAAAACUCUGUUGUUAAAGAAGAACAUAUCUGAGAGUAACUGUUCAGGUAUUGACGGUAUUUAACCAGAAAGCCACGGCUAACUACGUGCCAGCAGCCGCGGUAAUACGUAGGUGGCAAGCGUUGUCCGGAUUUAUUGGGCGUAAAGCGAGCGCAGGCGGUUUUUUAAGUCUGAUGUGAAAGCCUUCGGCUCAACCGAAGAAGUGCAUCGGAAACUGGGAAACUUGAGUGCAGAAGAGGACAGUGGAACUCCAUGUGUAGCGGUGAAAUGCGUAGAUAUAUGGAAGAACACCAGUGGCGAAGGCGGCUGUCUGGUCUGUAACUGACGCUGAGGCUCGAAAGUAUGGGUAGCAAACAGGAUUAGAUACCCUGGUAGUCCAUACCGUAAACGAUGAAUGCUAAGUGUUGGAGGGUUUCCGCCCUUCAGUGCUGCAGCUAACGCAUUAAGCAUUCCGCCUGGGGAGUACGGCCGCAAGGCUGAAACUCAAAGGAAUUGACGGGGGCCCGCACAAGCGGUGGAGCAUGUGGUUUAAUUCGAAGCUACGCGAAGAACCUUACCAGGUCUUGACAUACUAUGCAAAUCUAAGAGAUUAGACGUUCCCUUCGGGGACAUGGAUACAGGUGGUGCAUGGUUGUCGUCAGCUCGUGUCGUGAGAUGUUGGGUUAAGUCCCGCAACGAGCGCAACCCUUAUUAUCAGUUGCCAGCAUUAAGUUGGGCACUCUGGUGAGACUGCCGGUGACAAACCGGAGGAAGGUGGGGAUGACGUCAAAUCAUCAUGCCCCUUAUGACCUGGGCUACACACGUGCUACAAUGGAUGGUACAACGAGUUGCGAACUCGCGAGAGUAAGCUAAUCUCUUAAAGCCAUUCUCAGUUCGGAUUGUAGGCUGCAACUCGCCUACAUGAAGUCGGAAUCGCUAGUAAUCGCGGAUCAGCAUGCCGCGGUGAAUACGUUCCCGGGCCUUGUACACACCGCCCGUCACACCAUGAGAGUUUGUAACACCCAAAGUCGGUGGGGUAACCUUUUAGGAACCAGCCG